rnacentral:rRNA from 1 species
AUUGAACGCUGGCGGCAUGCCUUACACAUGCAAGUCGAACGGCAGCACGGGAGCAAUCCUGGUGGCGAGUGGCGAACGGGUGAGUAAUACAUCGGAACGUGCCCAGUAGUGGGGGAUAACCCGGCGAAAGCCGGACUAAUACCGCAUACGACCUACGGGUGAAAGCAGGGGAUCGCAAGACCUUGCGCUAUCGGAGCGGCCGAUGUCAGAUUAGCUUGUUGGCGGGGUAAAGCCCACCAAGGCGACGAUCUGUAGCUGGUCUGAGAGGACGACCAGCCACACUGGGACUGAGACACGGCCCAGACUCCUACGGGAGGCAGCAGUGGGGAAUUUUGGACAAUGGGCGCAAGCCUGAUCCAGCCAUGCCGCGUGCGGGAAGAAGG